GUGUCUGUUUUGUCCUUGUAUGUGCAGCGCCCCUACUGCAUAGAAAUGGAAACACAGGUCCGAGAGGGACCAAUGUAGGGGGAGUACAGAGAGAUCUGGAGUCUAGACAGAUCGGGACCCAUUCUCUGUUGCCGAGAUCGGAGCCGGUUGAGUCACUCAUGGAAAGAAAUAUAAACUUGCACGGUGAAUGAUGAUGUGUAGUAGGGUUCAGUGUGUCACCACAUGUCGGCCACAUGUGUUCGAUAACAGACGAUGCUUUGGUUCUGUUCCGGCUGUAAAACAAGAGGGGGAGCUACAAGCCUGGGAACGCAGAUGAAUGCCAAGACUUCAUCAAUAACUAAUUUAUUUAAGGGCUUAUUUUAUUUGGAAGUAAUUAAGCACAGGGAUAAUUCUAAAAUCGUUGCAUGUAGCCUACGUCACGCCCGCACACAUGUACUAGAUCUCGACACAAACAUUCCAUACACACGUGCCGAACACACACACACACACACACACACACACACACACACACACACACACACACACACACACACACACACACACACACACACACACACACACACACACACACACACACACACACACACACACACACACACGUACGUACGUGUGUUUGCGCUCCAAGCUAAGCAUGACCCACAGGAAACCCACUCAGAGGUCUGCAAGCCCAAGCAUUAUUUCCUUUGGACGUGUGUGAUGUUGACAUCACAUGAACACCAUUAACAUGUCAUACAGUAGGCCUAUAUCCCAGAACCUCAUGGUUAUUACUCUUUGCGCUCGGGACAACUGCUGACGGACGGAGAAAGGGCAUGAUUUUAUUUAUUUUUAUGGCUUGGGGUGCUUUUGCCUACGAUUCAACAUCGCCUUUGUGAUGUUGAUGUAGGGGUCAAAUUAAUCCACGUUGAAAUCUGGGACUACAAAAUUGCCGUUUUUAAUCAGAAUUGCAUAUUGAUAUUCUGUGCGAGGUCAUACACACAUAGAUAUUUCAGUGACAGUAUUUUACAGAUGAGUAGAACAUGUGCAUGGAAGAGUGAAAUCAUCAGCUGUAUCAAAUAAAAGAAACUUAGGAACUACAUGAAAA